rnacentral:misc_RNA from 1 species
AAUCUAAGUAUUCAAAGCAUUCUUCUGUAAUACUCUCUUUAAGCUUAACUUCACACAACAAUGGAUGCUACUAAGACAACCAAAGGUGCCGGAGGGAGAAAGGGUGGCCCAAGGAAGAAGUCCGUCACCAAGUCAAUCAAAGCUGGCCUUCAGUUUCCAGUCGGUCGUAUUGGUCGAUACUUGAAGAAGGGUAGAUAUGCUCAGCGUGUAGGAUCUGGUGCUCCUAUUUAUCUCGCUGCUGUUCUGGAAUACCUUGCUGCUGAGGUACGAAAACACAUA